rnacentral:rRNA from 9 species
AAUCCAUAGGUUAAUGAGGCGAACCGGGGGAACUGAAACAUCUAAGUACCCCGAGGAAAAGAAAUCAACCGAGAUUCCCCCAGUAGCGGCGAGCGAACGGGGAGGAGCCCAGAGCCUGAAUCAGCAUGUGUGUUAGUGGAAGCGUCUGGAAAGGCGCGCGAUACAGGGUGACAGCCCCGUACACAAAAGCGCAUGUGCUGUGAGCUCGAUGAGUAGGGCGGGACACGUGGUAUCCUGUCUGAAUAUGGGGGGACCAUCCUCCAAGGCUAAAUACUCCUGACUGACCGAUAGUGAACCAGUACCGUGAGGGAAAGGCGAAAAGAACCCCGGCGAGGGGAGUGAAAAAGAACCUGAAACCGUGUACGUACAAGCAGUGGGAGCACAGGUUUACCUGUGUGACUGCGUACC